UGGGGAAUCUUGGACAAUGGGGGCAACCCUGAUCCAGCGAUGCCGCGUGAAUGAAGAAGGCCUUAGGGUUGUAAAGUUCUUUCACCCGUGACGAUAAUGACGGUAGCGGGAGAAGAAGCCCCGGCUAACUCCGUGCCAGCAGCCGCGGUAAGACGGAGGGGGCUAGCGUUGUUCGGAAUGACUGGGCGUAAAGGGCGUGUAGGCUGUUGAUCAAGUCAAGCGUGAAAGCCUCGGGCUUAACCCGAGAACUGCGUUUGAUACUGGUUGACUUGAGGACGAGAGAGGAAAGUGGAAUUCCGAGUGUAGAGGUGAAAUUCGUAGAUAUUCGGAGGAACAUCAGAGGCGAAGGCGGCUUUCUGGCUCGUAUCUGACGCUGAGGCGCGAAAGCGUGGGGAGCAAACA
rnacentral:rRNA from 1 species